UUUGGAGAGGUGUACUCCCA
rnacentral:miRNA from 1 species